CAGCCGUCUGAAGACAAACGAAGGAGUUUGAGUUCAAUGAAACAUAUUCAAAAGAUUUUGAUUAAUUUAUUCUUGUUAUUUUUAGGUUUAGAUCACUUUGUCACCAUCUGAUGGGUACUGUUGUCACGGAUCAGUGAGCCAGCAGCGACCUCGACUGCAGCGAAGCUUUUAUUGUGGAUUGUCGUCACUUCCGCUCACCUGAGGAAUGCGCCUCCGUGAUGUAGAUGACCAGAAAGUCCGCCACGUCCCGGAAGUCCUCGACGAGCUGCUUGAACUGGUCCAGCUUGAACAUGAAGGGGGGUCAGGAGCAGCUCCCGAAGCUGAGCACCAGCGGCCGGCCACCUGCAGGAGGGAGAAGGUGAGGAGGAGGAGUCAGGGUUCGAACCCCCGGCGGGCCAGCCGCGCCACACGCACCCUUCAUGAACCCGAGGAUGCUGGUCCUCUCCCUAUCCAUGGUGACCACAGGUGAGUCCGGAGCGGCCCCGCCCACGAAGGCCUCCUGCUUGAGUGACAGGCAGACGUUGGCGAAGGCGGCUUUGAUGAAGGCCGCGGACAGGAAGGUCGGACCCCAGUCCUCGAACCGGAACCGGGGAUUUUGGGUCAUGCUCAUCUUCUCCCCCAUGCGGAGCAGCAGCUUCCUGACCGACGCAGGUGAGACGAGCUGCAGGCUCCUCAGGGUGACGCUGAGCGUCAACAGGUAACCGAGCAUACCUGCGGCCCACAGGUAAAGCCGCAGCCGCUGCACGAGCCACCACGCGCCCUCGCGGAGCCCCAUCUCUGCUUACAGAACUUCGGAGGACAGCUGUUAUAGGCCGGGAAGUCCCCGCCCACUUUAUCCCGACCACGCUGGUGUUGCGUUCACGGUUCUUCUGAAUGCUCGGAUUUUUAACCAUCAGACUUUAUCGUCUCCGUCCUGGUGUUGAUGGAGGGAAUCUCCCGGUUUGGUGGAGUCUCUAAUCCAGGAAUCAAGAGAGGAAACUUUGAACGAACACAUUUCUAAAUAUAACGAGACGAUCUGAUCAAUCAGCUCCAGAAUCGGGACAACGCAGAUUUCCAUCUUUGGAUUUCCGGGUUUCCCCCAGGCUCGCGCCCCUGACCGCGCGCGCCUGGUUAUGUAACAUCACAUUUCCCUCCACCAGAGGAGUUUGUGACUUUAUCAAACAAGCAGAAACAUGAUUGUAACGCUGGCUUAGAACGUCCUGGUUCUGUUCAGGUUUUUUUCUGGGUCUGAUCCACAGUUUGGGUCACGUGGGGUCACCUACAGGUGUUCUUUUACCUGGAGAAGCUCCUGCUUUUGUAACACCUUACUUAACAGUUUCUGUCUGGACAGGUAAGUUUGGGUCACGUGGGGUCACUUACAGGUGUUCCUUUUACCUGGAGAAGCUCCUGGUUUUGUAACACCUUACUUAACAGUUUCUGUCUGGACAGGUAAAGCGGAAGUCUGACAGGAGAGAAAAAAAGUCUCUGCUUUUCAGUUCAGAUAAAAAAAA